rnacentral:lncRNA from 1 species
AGAAUCAAUGGACUCCUGAACAAAAAAGAGGCAAAGCACUGCCUGAAGUAAGCAAGAGCCCAGUCAGCCAUUUGGAGAUUCUUAACACUGAACAUUAGGGCUCUUCCCAGGACUCUGUUUCAAGGCACACAGUUGGAAGAUCAUGACAAUGUACUCUUCUUGAUGUUAGAUUGCAAAUAAGAUAUACGGUGACUCCUUCCUCUUACCCACCAAAGUUCCAGUACCUGUAGGA